rnacentral:rRNA from 1 species
AGGGUUCGAUUCUGGCUCAGAACGAACGCUGGCGGUAUGCUUUAACCAUGCAAGUCGAACGAGAAAGGGUAGCAAUACCUGAGUAAAGUGGCAAACGGGUGAGUAACACACAGGAAUCUACCCAGUAGAGGGGAAUAAGCACUGGAAACGGUGUCUAAUACUCCAUACGCCGGUAUAGCAAUAUAUCGGGAAAGGGCUAGUAGCAAUAUUAGUUCACUAUUGGAUGAGCCUAUGUCGGAUUAGCUAGUUGGUGGGGUAAUGGCCUACCAAGGCGAUGAUCCGUAGCUGAUCUGAGAGGGUGAUCAGCCACACUGGAACUGCGACACGGUCCAGACUCCUACGGGAGGCAGCAGGUGGGAAUAUUGGACAAUGGAGGAAACUCUGAUCCAGCAAUACCGCGUGAAUGAUGAAGGCCUUCGGGUUGUAAAGUUCUUUUAAUAGGGAAGAUAAUGACGGUACCUAUAGAAUAAGCACCGGCAAACUUCGUGCCAGCAGCGGC